CACGGUGUGAUUCAUGACUGGGGUGAAGUCGUAACAAGGUAGCCGUAGGGGAACCUGCGGCUGGAUCACCUCCUUAAUCGACGACA
rnacentral:rRNA from 2 species